CUCAGUUCGGNUUGAAGGCUGAAAUUCGCCUUCAUGAAGCCGGAAUUGCUAGUAAUGGCAGGUCAGCAUACUGCCGUGAAUACGUUCCCGGGCCUUGUACACACCGCCCGUCACACCAUGAGAGUUGGGGAUACCCGAAGCCUGUGAGCUAACUUUUAGAGGCAGCAGUCGAAGGUAGAAUCAAUGAUUGGGGUGAAGUCGUAACAAGGUACC
rnacentral:rRNA from 1 species